CCUCUAGUCAUUAGAUGUCAAGGACCUCUAGUCAUUAGAUGUCAAGGACCUCUAGUCAUUAGAUGGCAAGGACCUCUAGUCAUUAUAUGUCAAGGACCUCUAGUCAUUAGAUGUCAAGGACCUAUAGUCAUUAGAUGUCAAGGACCUCUAGUCAUUAGAUGGCAAGGACCUAUAGUCAUUAGAUGUCAAGGACCUAUAGUCAUUAGAUGUCAAGGACCUAUAGUCAUUAGAUGUCAAGGACCUAUAGUCAUUAGAUGUCAAGGACCUCUAGUCAUUAGGUGUCAAGGACCUCUAAUCAUUAGAUGUCAAGGACCUCUAGUCAUUAAAUGUCAAGGACCUCAAGUCACUAAUUGCUAAGGACGUCUAGUCAUUGAUACCAAGGACCUGAAGUCAUUAGAUACCGAGGACCUCAAGUCAUUAGAAUACAAGAACGUCAAGUCAAUUAAAGCCAAUGAUGUUGAGGAUAUUGGACAUCUACCACCUCUUGUUCUUCUGAAAGGCUUAAAAAGAUCAACGGAUAAACUGAACACCAUCUGAGUAUAAACUAUUCAUAAGUUUUAAACUUGUUUAAAAUGUUAAAUUCAAGUUGAAGACAGUAUUCAAAAAUUCAUUCAUUCUCUCAUUUAUUCAUCCUGUCCUGUGUUUUCGAAAUAAUUUUUUUUAAAGUCUGACUUUUGACAAAAUGUUUGCCAAAUAUUAAACUAAUUAAUUGUGAUCCUCGUAUAUUAGAGUUGUGUUUAAGUGUAUAAGCUAAAGUGGAGUGCUUCAUAUUCUUAAACGUUUUUAUAAUUCUAAAUGUUUUGAUCAUAUUUGAACAUGUUUACAUUCUUCAGGGAAAAAUAUUUAUCUAAAAAAUUUUUACUUUAUCUGUGUGAAAAAUCAUUUUUAAGAAAGCAAAGUUAUGGUUCAGAAUUUUUUUUAACUCAAAUCAAAUCUGAACUAGAUGUAGUUUUCAAUAUGGAAGACCUGAUACGUAAAUUUACGGUCGGUUUGACAUAUUCAAAAUUCAAUCCACAACCAAUUAUGAUACUGAAAGAGACUGUAAGCGUAAUGUUAGGUGACUCUUCAGGCAACCAUGGCAAUGCCCGAUUCACAACGGGUUUUGGCAUCUUUCCACCUACAAUCCCUUUAAAAAAGCUUUUUAAGAAAUAACAAUAUUUCUACAAAACUAAAUAUUAUUGCUGACGUCUUUAUCCUAAAAAUAUCAAUAUUAUCUUAGAUCUAAUAUGAAAAUAAAAUGUUUACAUGCAUAUUUUAUACGAAAUAUAUUGUUGGCUUGUA